AUGCUAUCAUUUCGGAGAACUGGUUAAGUUGGAAAAGUGCAAUGGAGUCAUUGGGAGCAAAAGAAGGAGAAAUCUUCCAUUUGGAGUGUAAAGGGCAAAAAGGUUGAUUCACAGGCGAGUCAUACUUGGAGCAGACUAGGUUGGGAAAGGAAGAGGUGGAGAAUGAACCGUCAGUUUCCCAUAGCUGAAAGUCGAACAGAGAACUAGACUGUCGGUUCUGUGGAACCGACAGGCCGUGUGUGAUCUGGUUACCCCUUAACCACUAAAGUAGGGUGCCGAUAGCAGUUUUGGUUCCUACACAUACCCUAAAAAUCAGAGAGCAAUAAUUCUCUUAUCAUUGCCUUACUACCUCUCCUUCUUACUCCACCUGAAAUUCAGAGAAGACGGUUGCGGCUGAGAUAAACCGACAAGAAGAGAUGAAGAAAUUCUGCUGCUGCCAUGGAUCUGAUGCUGUGAUGGGUUUUCUGCACUUGAAGUAGCAGUGAUGAACAAGAUAAAAGAAAUUCAAGAUAGAAAAUAUCUGUCGAUGAAAUACAAGGAAUUGAUACUUGAAUUGCACAUGGGUUUCUGAGUUCAAGUUAUUGUUGGUUGGAUGUGCUAUAUUGUAGGUGAUACUGGAAAUUACAGUUGCAGACAUGAAGCUGAAUUAGGGUUUUGUUGAAUUUGAACUCUCAAUCGAGAACUCAGCUGAAGAAAUUAGAGUUAGGUUCAAGUGUUAUGAAGAUGAUGAUUGUUCUGAAAGGAAGGAAGAAUUGAUUUCUGCAGCUGUACAAGGAAGAUGGGUUGUUGCAGAAUGUGUUGCAGGAACUGAUAACAAGGGUUUGUGUCGGAAUGGUUAGAAACCAAAGGAGUUGAAUGAAAUUGAGCUACAAGGAAUGAGCUAAGAAAAUGAAGCCUGUAGGGGUUUGUGUGGAUGUUAGGGUUCAUACCGAGAGAAGAACAGAUGAACUGACAUUGAGAAGAUUGUGGUGGAAUUAUUGGUUGAACUUGAUCUGUGUUUGGCUCUUGAUUCACAGGUUAAGGUUUUGUUGAGCUGAAAUGGUUUUGGAAUGACUCAUGGAGGUUGUCGAUGUGUUGAGCAGGUACAGUUUAUGAUUGCAGAAGAUGAACUGAAGUGCCACCAGUUUAUGAUUGCUUAAGCGAUUACAUAGAGCAAAGAAUGGAUGUGAUAUGAAAUUGCAGGUGGAGUUACUGAAUUGCAGUGGUAAUAGAUUUGUUGCUUUAAAAGAGUGAUCCAGCUACAUCUGAGUUGCUGCAAUGGGUUUGUAAUGGGAAGCUAGAAUGAUGCAGUGAGAUAGAUGCAAUGCAGAGCUGAUGGUGUUGGUUGAGCAGUGACAGUAAUGAAGGAGUUGCAGGUGCAAGUGAAAUUGCAGUAAGAAGGAGCAACUGAAACUGGUGCGACUGCAGUUGAGAAAGUGGAGAGUCUGCAAUGGAAUGGAACUGGCAGUGGCAGCUGAUGCACAGAGCAGGGUUGUGUUGCAGGAGCAGAAUUGAGAUGGAAGCAAGCUGAGGUAAUAAUGGUAUGAAACUGCGGGCGAUGGCGAACUCGCAAGUGAGUUUGAACUGCAGAGGUUUUUGAAGGCUAGCUUUUGCCAUGUAAAUAUGAGUUACAGUGAGUUGUGCAAGUGAUGCAGCUGGAGUUGAAUGAGCAGAUGGGAUUUUAAGCUACAGAAGACAUGAGUCUAAAGUUCAGGUAGGAAUAAGGUGGUGCCGAGACAUGGUAUCUGCCAGAGAUUACAUGGUAGAGUUGUGUGAACUGCAGGAGAAGUACAUGGUGGUGUUGACAAUGGAGACAAGAAGCAGCUGCAGUUGCAGAUGAACAAGAAAGAUUGAGAAACUGGAAUUGAUUGCAGCUGAUGACUUGUGUGGUUUUGAAAUGCAUGAAUUGCAGCAAUUGAGCUGAACUGAAUUGGCUAGAGUUUGGUAAUCUGUGAGGUUACAGCAGAGAAGACUAUGUAGCAUGAUAUGAACUAGUAGUACUGCUUCAAGGAAGUGUUGCUGCUCAAUGGUGCUGAGUGAAGUUGCAGCAGUAAAUUGAAAACAGUAGAUGAAUGUUUAGGAAAUGACUUGCAGUGCAAAUUUGGGGUUCUUGAGAAUUGCAGGUGAUUGGGUUAAUGUUGCUGGAUGGGCUGGAGUUGCUUGCCAGUUUUACAAGACUGACAAGCAUAGCAAGUUAUGGGCUUAAUGGGCUUUGAUUAAGGCCUGAAUUGUGGUCAUUAGUAUGGGCCAGAUAGGCUCAGUCUUUGACGAGCUAGCCAAGAAUUGCGUGUGAUAUGGCCUGACUUUGGAAGUUAUGACCGACUUUUGGGG